GUGAAGUUGCUCAGUCGAGUCCAACUCGAGCGACCUCAUGGACUGCAGCCUAGCAGGCUCCUCCGUCUACACGAUCUUCCACGAAAAAGUACUGGAGUGGGGUGCCAUUGCCUUCUCCGAGGAUAUUGUAUACAUUUUAUCAAAUUCAAGUAGAGAAUGCAUAUGAGAAAAAACAAACCAAUAUAUAUAGAAGUGUUCACUUUCCUAGAAGUUAGGUUAUGCAUAUCACAGCAACAAAGGAAUAGCAUUUCUCACCUAUGGAUGUUGAUGUUAUUCUUUAGUUGUUAAGCUGUGUCCGACUCUUUGUGACUCCGUGGACUAUACCCUGCCAAGCUCCUCGGUCCAUGGGAUUUCCCAGGCAAGAAUACUGGAGUGGGUUGCUAUUUCCUUCCCCAGAGGAUCUUUUUGACUCGGGGAUUGAACAUGGGUCUCCUACAUUUGCAGGUGGAUUCUUCACUGCUGAACCAUGAGGGAAGCCCUUCACCUAUGGAUAGACAAGCCCGAAAACUAGUAAGACUUAGGAUGAUAAGGGUGAGAAAGGAUUGCCACAGUUGUAUAAUCUCUUGAGAAAAUUUCCCGGCAAUAUAUAUUAAAAUUUAUUAAGAUACACUCAACCUUUUGCAAAGCAAAGCAGUAUUAGAUAGCUAAGUAAAUAAGAAAAAAAGAAACUAGAGAAGAGAGGCUGUCACCUAUCUAGAAAUAAAAGCCCCAUUAUGUGAGGUUAUAUAAGGAGAGAUCGUUACCUUCUGUAAACAUCUGUGUGUCAAGUGUUAAAAGAAGCAUGUGUAGAGUAACCUCAAAUAUAAAAAAUAAAAUAAACAAAAUAACCUCUAUUUCUCACUCCAAGUUACUUUCUUUGAAUCAUCCUGUUGAGAGCCUUUAAAAUACAGUCUAAGAUCAUCUUUAUAAGAUCCCAUGUUGUUUGCCUUUCCCCAUUAGACUGUUCCAUGAAGGGGAGCAUGGCAUGUAGACAUCCCAGCUUCUCACAGAGGGCCUGGGACUCAACUCUCUGGUUUCAAAAGCUUCUCGUUACAAAGAGAUGCCUGGAUCCAGAGUGUCUGUCAAACUCAUCAAUGCUCAGAAAUAAAUGGAUUGGUGUCAGUGUUCUGGUAUCACUGAUUGAUCCUGCACGUGCAAAAUUUUUUUCUAUUAGAAACUUACUCUGGGUUUCUUUCAUUGUGUGUACUGUGUGUCUUGGGGAUAAGGAGAGUGAAAGGGGAGGGAUGGGAACUAUCAUUGUGGAGAAGCUAUCUUUGGUACAAAAUGUGUCUAAUUUCUUGAAUAAGUAAUACAUUUUAAAAAUUA